GCUACUUAAGUGAACUUCACCGAGACGGCAGAGCUGCUGUUACAUGACUAUACAUAGCCCUGUGGAGCAUGCAACGGGGCAUGUGGUCAGUUGCACAUGGCACCGGAAUACGGAUACGGGGACAAGGACUACAACCAUUUCGCUCGCCCAAUUGCAUUUGCUUUGAGAAGCUUUCUUACUGGACUUCACCGAGAGAGGAUAGCUGGUGUUGCAACACUAUACAUAGCCCUGCGGAGCAUGCGACGGGGCGAGUGGCAAGGUGCACAUGGCACCAGAAUACGGAUACGGGGACGAGGACUACAACACUUCACCGAGCCAGGGAAGCUGGUGUUGCAAGACUAUACAUAACACUGCGGAGUGUGCGCCGGGGCGAGCGGCGCAAGUGUAAAUAGCCCCGGAAUACGGAUACGGGGACGAGGACUACAACCAUUUAGCCCAGCCAAUUGCAUUUGCUUUGAGAAGCAAUCUUACUGGACUUCAGCGAGACAGGAUACCUGGUGUUGCAAGACUAUACAUAGCCCUGCGGGGCACGCGACGGGGCGAGUGGCAAGGUGCACAUGGCACCAGAAUACGGAUACGGGGACGAGGACUACAACACUUCACCGAGCCAGGGAAGCUGGUGUUGCAAGACUAUACAUAACACUGCGGAGUGUGCGCCGGGGCGAGCGGCGCAAGUGUAAAUAGCUCCGGAAUACGGAUACGGGGACGAGGACAACCAUUUAGCCCAGCCAAUUGCAUUUGCUUUGAGAAGCAAUCUUACUGGACUUCAGCGAGACAGGAUACCUGGUGUUGCAAGACUAUACAUAGCCCUGCGGGGCACGCGACGGGGCGAGUGGCAAGGUGCACAUGGCACCAGAAUACGGAUACGGGGACGAGGACUACAACUCUUUAUCCCACCCAAUUGCAUUUGCUUUUACAAGCUACUUUACUGAACUUGACCGAGACAGAUCGAGCCAGAGAAGCUGGUGUUUCAAGAUUAUAAAUAGCCCUGCGGAGCAUGCGCCGGGACAAGCGGCGCAAGUGUAGAUAGCCCCGGAAAACGGAUACGGGGACGAGGACUACAACUCUUUAUCCCACCCAAUUGCAUUUGCUUUUACAAGCUACUUUACUGAACUUGACCGAGACAGCAGAGCUGCUUUUACAUGACUACACAUAGCCCUACGGAGAAUGCGACUGAGCGAGCGGGGCAAGUGUAAAUAGCCCCGGAAAAUGGAUACGGGAUCGAGGACUACAACUCUUUAUCCCACCCAACUGCAUUUGCUUCGAGAAGCUAUAUUACUAGACUUUCGAGACAGCAGAGCUGGUGUUACAUCACUAUACAUAGCCCUGCGGCGCAUGCGAGUGGGCGAGCGGGGCAACGGGGCAAGUGUAGAUAGCCCCGGAAUACGGAUACGGGGACGAGGACUACAACUCUUUAUCCCACCCAAUUGCAUUUGAUUUUACAAGCUACUUUACUGAACUUGACCAAGACAAUAGAGCUGCUUUUACAUGAUUAUACAUAGCCCUGCGGAGAAUGCGACUGAGCGAGCGGGGCAAGUGUAAAUAGUCCAGGAAUACGGAUACGGGAACGUGGACUACAACUCUUUAUCCCACACAACUGCAUUUGCUUCAAGAAGCUAUUCGAUUACACUUCACCGAAACAGCAGAGCUGGUGCUACAUGACUAUACAUAGCCCUGCGGAGCAUGCGAGUGGGCGAGCGGGGCACGUGUAGUUGGCCCCGGAAUACGGGGACGAGGACUACAACCCUUUAUCCCACCCAACUGCAUUUGCUUCGAGAAGCUAUUUUACUAGACUUCACCGAAACAGCAGAGCUGGUGCUACAUGACUAUACAUAGCCCUGCGGAGUGGGCGAGUGGGGCAAGUGUAGUUCGUCCCGGAAUACGGAUACGGGGACGAGGACUACAACUCUUUAUCCCACCCAAUGGCGUUUGCUUUUAGAAGCCAUUUUAUGAACUUCAUCGAGACAGAGAAAGCUGUUUUACUGGACUUCACCGAGAGAGA